rnacentral:rRNA from 1 species
AGAGUUUGAUCAUGGCUCAGAUUGAACGCUGGCGGUAUGCUUAACACAUGCAAGUCGAACGGAAACGAUACUAGCUUGCUAGUAGGCGUCGAGUGGCGGACGGGUGAGUAACGCGUAGGAAUCUGCCUGAUAGUGGGGGAUAGCCCGAAGAAAUUCGGAUUAAUACCGCAUAAUCUAUUCGUAGUAAAGUGGGGGACUUUCGAGCCUCACGCUAUCAGAUGAGCCUGCGUAAGAUUAGCUAGUUGGUAGGGUAAAAGCCUACCAAGGCAACGAUCUUUAGCUGGUCUGAGAGGAUGAUCAGCCACAUCGGGACUGAGACACGGCCCGAACUCCUACGGGAGGCAGCAGUGGGGAAUAUUGGACAAUGGGGGCAACCCUGAUCCAGCAAUACCGCGUGUGUGAAGAAGGCCUGAGGGUUGUAAAGCACUUUCAAUUGUGAAGAAAAG